AUUGAACGCUGGCGGCAGGCCUAACACAUGCAAGUCGAGCGAGCGGCGGACGGGUGAGUAAUGUCUGGGAAACUGCCUGCUGGAGGGGGAUAACUACUGGAAACGGUAGCUAAUACCGCAUACCAUCAGAUGGGCCCAGAUGGGAUUAGCUAGUAGGUGGGGUAACGGCCCACCUAGGCGACGAUCCCUAGCUGGUCUGAGAGGAUGACCAGCAACACUGGGACUGAGACACGGUCCAGACUCCUACGGGAGGCAGCAGUGGGGAAUAUUGCACAAUGGGGGCAAGCCUGAUGCAGCCAUGCCGCGUGUGUGAAGAAGGCCUUCGGGUUGUAAAGCACUUUCAGCGGGGAGGCGUUACCCGCAGAAGAAGCACCGGCUAACUACGUGCCAGCAGCCGCGGUAAUAC
rnacentral:rRNA from 1 species